ACUUGGCUCUGCUGUGCGAUAUGUCCCCAGCCUGGUGUGUAGCACGUCUCUAGCUGGCUUCCCUUCAAAAUCCACACAUACAUCUCAAACCUCUUGCACAUCCUGCCAGCACUCAGGAGCCCUUCAGACUCUGACUCUUACUCUGCGCUCUUGCUUCUCUCUCCCCCUCAUCCUGCCUGGAUCCUGGGUCGUGGCCUUGUGCACUGCCAUCCUUCUCCCCAGGUUCCACCUUGAUCACCACAGAUGUGCGGCUCCAGCCCCACUCCAUGCCCCUGACUUUCCCAGUGGGUGAGAUGAUCUAUCCCUGGGUGUGGAGACAGCGGAGGAAUACCUCAGCAUUCAGGAUUGCCCAGUCAAAGGAAGACUUGCUGGCAGUCCUCUCAAGUGACUGACUCCCUGCUCAGGGGGCGCAGAUGCUAGCUCAUGCCUGCACCGUGUCCUUCCUGGCCUCUCUUUCUGUUGCCUCUGCUCGGCGGUCCUGCUGGUGGGAUUCCCUCUGUGGUACUGGAAGGCUUGACCCUGCAGCCUGUCAACUUCAGUCUGUUCUGCUCUGCUCUGCCCUGGCCUCCUAUUCCCCAGGGAUUCCUUAAUAAAUACAGUGACCUUACACCC
rnacentral:lncRNA from 1 species